UAACUCCUCCUACCUCCUCCAGUCCUCACUCCUUCUGAACUCCGAACAUACGCCUUCUUCUUCACCACACCAUCGCCGCACUCCUCUCUCACACACGCCGCCGCACGACGUCACACUCCUCUCCUCGCCGCUCGCUCGCCGCACGAAGCCGUCCAGAUCUGACGCAGUCCAACACCGCAGCUCGCCGCGCCGUCCAGCCAGUCGCGUCGUCGUCGUCCAGCCCUCCAGCCGUGCCGUUGCCGUCGCCGUCGCCGUCUACCUCCUCCAGCCGCGUCCAACAGGUAAUAUUCAUUUUUUUUCGGUUUUUAAUUUCAUUUAAUUUAAUAAUGCACAAUCGCUUUACACCUUGAAUAUUAAUUUUAUUUAUGUAAUGUGAGUUAUGUGUGUACAAGGAAUACCCCCUAUGAGCAAACUACUGAACCAUUCUGAUGGUUGGGUGACAGUACUAUGUAAGAAACUCACAGUUUGGUGGCCAUGGGUUAGCCAUUCCAGGACCAGUGGAUUAAGCAAAGCUGUUAAGAAUAAACUCACAAUGUGGAUGAUGUGGCAAGGGGAUGCCAAGUUAGUACAAUUGUGAUUGAUGAAGCUGCUUGCCAUGUGAUUUUGCAUCCUUCAUCUGAUUGACUGGUCACUUGGUUGCUUGACUAUUUCUCAUUGGUUGUUCCUUACACCCUUUUUGUCAUUGUCAAAAAUUAUUCUAUCUACAUUUGCAGAAGGAAAAUCUGUGCAAGAGAUGGUUCAUGAAGCUCUGCAACAUGUUCCUAAUACUAGUGGUAAUGAGUAACAUUGUGGAAGCGGCACUUGGAUCUUCUUUCGUAGGUAAUGAGCAACAUUUUGGAUUCGCUUGUCUAUUGGGAUUUAUGUUUUGUAUUAGUAGGAUGUUAGCUACCAACUCUUAAGUUUAUAAUUUAGAUAUGCUAAUCAACUCCAAUUUAGAGGAGGAUAUUAGUUAGCCACCCCACAAUAUUAGUGGGUUUUUUUUUUUUUGAGUGA